UACGGAGGGUGCAAACGUUGUUCGGAAUUACUGGGCGUAAAGCGCGUGUAGGCUGCUUGGAAAGUCGGAUGUGAAAGCCCUGGGCUCAACCCAGGAAGUGCACUCGAAACUUCCGAGCUCGAGUUCUGGAGAGGAUAGCGGAAUUCUCGGUGUAGAGGUGAAAUUCGUAGAUAUCGAGAGGAACACCGGUGGCGAAGGCGGCUAUCUGGACAGAAACUGACGCUGAGACGCGAAAGCGUGGGGAGCAAACAGG
rnacentral:rRNA from 1 species